GACAGAGGGGGCAAGCGUUGCUCGGAAUCACUGGGCGUAAAGGGCGCGUAGGCGGGAUGGCAAGUCGGUCGUGAAAUCCUUCGGCUCAACCGAAGAACGUCGGCCGAUACUGCCGUUCUUGAGGGAUGCAGAGGAGAUUGGAAUUCCCGGUGUAGCGGUGAAAUGCGCAGAUAUCAGGAGGAACACCGGUGGCGAAGGCGGAUCUCUGGGCCUUACCUGACGCUCAGGUGCGAAAGCUAGGGGAGCGAACAGG
rnacentral:rRNA from 1 species